GACGAACGCUGGCGGCGUGCCUAAUACAUGCAAGUAGAACGCACAGUUUAUACCGUAGCUUGCUACACCAUAGACUGUGAGUUGCGAACGGGUGAGUAACGCGUAGGUAACCUGUCUGGUAGCGGGGGAUAACUAUUGGAAACGAUAGCUAAUACCGCAUAAUAUUGAUUAUUGCAUGAUAAUUAAUUGAAAGGUGCAAUUGCACCACUACUAGUUGGACCUGCGUUGUAUUAGCUAGUAGGUGAGGUAACGGCUCACCUAGGCGACGAUACAUAGCCGACCUGAGUGGGUGGUCGGCCACCCUGGGACUGAGACACGGCCCAGAGUCCUACGGGAGGCAGCAGUAGGGAAUCUUCGGCAAUGGGCGAAAGUCUGACCGAGAAACGCCGCGUGAGUGAAGAAGGUUUUCGGGUCGUAAAGCUCGGUUGUAAGGGAAGAACGGGUGUGAGAGUGGAAAGUUCACACUGUGACGGUAUCUUACCAGAAAGGGACGGCUAACUACGUG
rnacentral:rRNA from 1 species